rnacentral:rRNA from 1 species
UACGAAGGGUGCAAGCGUUACUCGGAAUUACUGGGCGUAAAGCGUGCGUAGGUGGUGCGUUAAGUCUGUCGUGAAAGCCCCGGGCUCAACCUGGGAAUGGCGAUGGAUACUGGCGCGCUAGAGUGCGGUAGAGGAGAGCGGAAUUCCCGGUGUAGCAGUGAAAUGCGUAGAGAUCGGGAGGAACAUCAGUUGCGAAGGCGGCUCUCUGGACCAACACUGACACUGAGGCACGAAAGCGUGGGGAGCAAACAGG